UCAGGAUGAACGCUGGCGGCGUGCUAACACAUGCAAGUCGAACGAAGCUAAGGAGCUGCCCCCAAGCUAGUGGCGGACGGGUGAGUAACGCGUGGUAACCUGCCCUAUAGAGGGGGAUAACGUUCGGAAACGAACGCUAAUACCGCAUAAACCAUAAAGAGCUGCAUGGCUCUGAUGGCAAAGAUUUAUCGCUAUAGGAUGGACCUGCGUUGGAUUAGCUAGUUGGUGAGAUAACAGCUCACCAAGGCGACGAUCCAUAGCCGGCCUGAGAGGGUGAACGGCCACAUUGGGACUGAGACACGGCCCAAACUCCUACGGGAGGCAGCAGUGGGGAAUAUUGCACAAUGGGCGCAAGCCUGAUGCAGCGACGCCGCGUGAAGGAAGAAGGUCUUCGGAUUGUAAACUUCUAUCAGCAGGGAAGAAUAAAUGACGGUACCUGACUAAGAAGCCCCGGCUAACUACGUGCCAGCCGCCGC
rnacentral:rRNA from 1 species